UCCAAUAAUUGUUUUCAUCUGUCUAUGCAGCGUGUAGUGUAUGUAGAUAUUGAUGUUCAUCAUGGAGACGGAGUUGAGGAGGCUUUUAACACCACAAAUCGCGUUAUGAGAGUGUCCUUUCAUAAGUUUGGGGGGAACUUCUUUCCUGGUACAGGGGAUAUCAGAGACAUUGGUACAGGUACCGGGAAGUCCUAUGCCUUAAACGCACCACUAAAAGACGGGAUUGAUGAUGAGAGUUUCCGUCGUCUACUCGGUCUCGUAAUCCAAAAGUGAUGGACGUCUAUCAACCUGAAGUUGUUGUUCUUCACUGCGGUGUUGAUUCACUAGAUGGAGAUAGGCUGUCUCUUUUAACUUGUCCGUCCAUGGCCAUGCAAAUUGCCUCAGUUUUUUAAUGUCCCAUUGAUGAUACUGGGUGGUGGAAGUUAUACAGUAAACAAUGUUGCUCGGUGUUGGUGUUAUGAGACUGCAGUUGCAGUUGGCGUAGAGCCUGAGGACCCGGAGUAUACUCUCAACAUCGAACCCUUACAUAUGAAGAAUAUGAACACUCCCCACUAUCUAGAAGUACUCAGGAACAAGUUGAUGGAAAAUGUGUCGCACUUACCACAUGUAUCCAGUGUGCCUUUUCAACAAAACAACUGAUCAAGUAAAUAUCCAAACCAACAUCUGGGAGAGCGGAAACACCAAACAGAAAAAAUAUAUGCUGCAGUUAUUGUUGAAUUUCUUUGUCUGAGAUUGUCUUUUCCUCUGUAGUUCUUUGACCGCUACUGUGGAAUACGCGUUCCUGUUUAAUCCUAGUUGAAAUGUUUAAAAUGGAAUGACACUGGUUUAGCCCGCUUGUAAUAACUGUAUAGUAAGAUUUUUACUAGAAUUUACAUUUAGGGAGGUGAUGAUCAGUAUAGUUUGUUCUCCAA